GACGAACGCUGGCGGCGUGCCUAAUACAUGCAAGUAGAACGCUGAAGAGAGGAGCUUGCUCUUCUUGGGUGAGUUGCGAACGGGUGAGUAACGCGUAGGUAACCUGCCUGGUAGCGGGGGAUAACUAUUGGAAACGAUAGCUAAUACCGCAUAAAAUUGAUUAUUGCAUGAUAAUUAAUUGAAAGAUGCAAUUGCAUCACUACCAGAUGGACCUGCGUUGUAUUAGCUAGUUGGUGAGGUAACGGCUCACCAAGGCGACGAUACAUAGCCGACCUGAGAGGGUGAUCGGCCACACUGGGACUGAGACACGGCCCAGACUCCUACGGGAGGCAGCAGUAGGGAAUCUUCGGCAAUGGGGGGAACCCUGACCGAGCAACGCCGCGUGAGUGAAGAAGGUUUUCGGAUCGUAAAGCUCUGUUGUAAGAGAAGAACGGGUGUGAGAGUGGAAAGUUCACACUGUGACGUAUCUACCAGAAAGGACGCA
rnacentral:rRNA from 1 species